UGGGUGCAGUCUUGUUACUGAGUUACAUGAGUGUGGAGGUUUUGGAUGCAGUCUUGUUACUACACUCAUGUAACUCAGCAACAAGACUGCACC
rnacentral:pre_miRNA from 1 species